GUCGCCAGUGUAUAGAGAGCCUCGGGCCGGCAUGUAAAUAAAGGUAUGGUAGAUGGGGGAGGGGCUGCCCUGGGUACAGGUGGAGUGGUGGGCUGCAUCCCAGACAGGCCUAUGAGGAGGCGAGAGGCACACCCGGACUCUACCUGCCUCUCCUCUCGGCCAGUACUGCCACCCCAAGUGUCCACUCCGCGUGUGCCGUCGCGGCUCCACGACGCAACCUCAAGACUACAGGAGGUAACUCCAGCAUCAACAUAUGCCAUCAGUGAUGUAGCAAAACAAAAAUAGUCACCUUGAAACCUCACUAGAAAGAAAUGAGCUGACUGGGGGUGAAGUGAAAGGCAAAGGCAAAGUGAUCAAAGCAGAGGUACAGAGUGUUGUGAUGCUGAGUGUGUAACAAGUGUCAACACAAACAAUCCCUCGGCCGAGCAGGAGAAAAAAAAUCCCCUUGGCUGUCUCAAGAAAUUACAGCCGUGCCCUCCAUCGAGGAGGCAUGGUGUUGCGGUAAUAUGACGGCGCCGCAUCCCAUCGCAGAGUUUCGGGACGCCGAUCACUACUGGGGCUCCACCAAGGAUCCAGGGCAUGAGAUCAUCCGUCCAAAGCCUAGAAGGU